CGGAUGUAUUCCGUUGGUGGUGUGACUUAUUACAUUUUUGCAAACCUGUACACGCUUUCCCCACCAGUGAAAGGGCCAUACAUCAUAUAACCUUUUUUCUUUUUAGCAUCUAAUCUUCACAAUCCAAUAGGUCCCCACGACGCUCGAGUAAAUCCAC